rnacentral:rRNA from 1 species
GACAGAGGUGCCGAGCGUUAGGCGGAAUCACUGGGCUUAAAGCGUGUGUAGGCGGACUUCUAAGUACCUUGUGAAAUCCCACGGCUUAACCGUGGAACUGCUUGGUAUACUGGUUGUCUUGGGCCAUCUAGGGGCUACUGGAACAAACGGUGGAGCGGUGAAAUGCGUAGAUAUAGGAAGGAACACCAGUGGCGAAGGCGACCACCUGGACUGAUACUGACACUGAGGUGCGAAAGCGUGGGGAGCAAACAGG